CCGACCUGAAAUCAGAUUGACACCACCGACUGUAUUAAUGCGAGCGAGGAGAGGAGUAGAAAUCAGAUCCCAGUGCCCAUUACACAGCUGUCUCCAGUUAUGCAGUAAUGCUCAAGUUGCUCCGCUACACAGUGAAUCAUUUCUGCAAGAGUCGGAGUGUUUGUCUUCCAGGGAUGAAGCUGGUCGUACACGUCCAGUCCAGUUUGUUCAACUGACAUCAUGUCCGAUGUCAUUCCCCAUCCACACCUUAACUAGCUUGACUCUGUCUGAAUGUGAGAAAAUCCACCAACUAGCACCUCUACAGAGUGGAAUCAACCUUCUCAUCUUACUCUUGGUGCACCAGCUGUCACAAGGUACUCAGAGGAGCCUGUGGUGUUAAAAUUGGUGGAUAGCCAACUCUACCUGCCAUCACCCAAAGUCCAGCAGAUGAAGAAUGAGCCGAAUGUAACUGCUCCGGUCUAGAAGGGACAAUUAAUUAUGUUUCAUAGCACCAAUCUUCCACAUUUUAGAGAUAAUGAUGAGUGAAACUGGAGAUUUCAACAUAUUUUGAGUCCUGUAUGUGUAUCUUACUUACUGACACAGAAGAGGAAUUAUUCUUCCCUCUGUGAAUAAUGUAAAUGAACCUGAUGUGAUUCAUUUUCUCCACUAGAUGGUGAUACUACACAUCUCCCCAUUAAGUUCUGCUCACACUCUCAGGUUGCCUAUUAUUAGCCCUCAAAAGUUGUGAAUGAGUUAAUUCCCAGUGAGCUGAUUGCUCUGUGCCAGCCACCUAUCCACAGUGGACGCCAAUCAGAUAUUUGUGCAUGAAUGAAAUGAAUGCAUAAUGA